rnacentral:rRNA from 1 species
CCCUUAGAUGUUCGGGGCCGCACGCGCGCUACACUGAAGGACUCAGCGUGUCUCUCCCCCUAUCCCGAAAGGGAUGGGCAACCCGUUGAACCUCCUUCGUGCUAGGGAUUGGGGUUUGCAAUUAUCCCCCAUGAACGAGGAAUUCCCAGUAAGCGCGAGUCAUCAGCUCGCGUUGAUUACGUCCCUGCCCUUUGUACACACCGCCCGUCGCUACUACCGAUUGGAUGGCUUAGUGAGACCCUCGGAUCGGUCCCGACUCGGGGUGGGCUUCUGCCCCGGUCGUGGUUUCGCCGAGAAGACGGUUAAACUUGACUAUCUAGAGGAAGUAAAAGUCGUAACA